GCUUCUUUUUCCACCGGAGCUUGCUCCACCGGAAAAAGAGGAGUGGCGAACGGGUGAGUAACACGUGGGUAACCUGCCCAUCAGAAGGGGAUAACACUUGGAAACAGGUGCUAAUACCGUAUAACAAUCGAAACCGCAUGGUUUUGAUUUGAAAGGCGCUUUCGGGUGUCGCUGAUGGAUGGACCCGCGGUGCAUUAGCUAGUUGGUGAGGUAACGGCUCACCAAGGCCACGAUGCAUAGCCGACCUGAGAGGGUGAUCGGCCACAUUGGGACUGAGACACGGCCCAAACUCCUACGGGAGGCAGCAGUAGGGAAUCUUCGGCAAUGGACGAAAGUCUGACCGAGCAACGCCGCGUGAGUGAAGAAGGUUUUCGGAUCGUAAAACUCUGUUGUUAGAGAAGAACAAGGAUGAGAGUAACUGUUCAUCCCUUGACGGUAUCUAACCAGAAAGCCACGGCUAACUACGUGCCAGCAGCCGCGGUAAUACGUAGGUGGCAAGCGUUGUCCGGAUUUAUUGGGCGUAAAGCGAGCGCAGGCGGUUUCUUAAGUCUGAUGUGAAAGCCCCCGGCUCAACCGGGGAGGGUCAUUGGAAACUGGGAGACUUGAGUGCAGAAGAGGAGAGUGGAAUUCCAUGUGUAGCGGUGAAAUGCGUAGAUAUAUGGAGGAACACCAGUGGCGAAGGCGGCUCUCUGGUCUGUAACUGACGCUGAGGCUCGAAAGCGUGGGGAGCAAACAGGAUUAGAUACCCUGGUAGUCCACGCCGUAAACGAUGAGUGCUAAGUGUUGGAGGGUUUCCGCCCUUCAGUGCUGCAGCUAACGCAUUAAGCACUCCGCCUGGGGAGUACGACCGCAAGGUUGAAACUCAAAGGAAUUGACGGGGGCCCGCACAAGCGGUGGAGCAUGUGGUUUAAUUCGAAGCAACGCGAAGAACCUUACCAGGUCUUGACAUCCUUUGACCACUCUAGAGAUAGAGCUUCCCCUUCGGGGGCAAAGUGACAGGUGGUGCAUGGUUGUCGUCAGCUCGUGUCGUGAGAUGUUGGGUUAAGUCCCCGCAACGAGCGCAACCCUUAUUGUUAGUUGCCAUCAUUCAGUUGGGCACUCUAGCAAGACUGCCGGUGACAAACCGGAGGAAGGUGGAGAUGACGUCAAAUCAUCAUGCCCCUUAUGACCUGGGCUA
rnacentral:rRNA from 1 species